GAAAGAUAUAUCAUUAAUAGUUUCAUAUAGAUGCAUCUUUGCUGAUCACUGAAUAUGGAUCGUUUGUAUUUUAUUAACUUUUAACCCAGACAUUGAAUAAUGAGACAUCAUUUCUGGUUUCCUUUGGGAAAAAGAAUGCAUAAGUCCUAUGGUCGAUUUGCAUUAGUUUUCGUGCUACAGUUUUUCUAUAACGAUUGCAUGUCCAACUGUAUAUUGUUCCUUAUGGUUGGUGGUCUGGAUCCAUUGCAACAGAUGCAGAUUUAGUACUAUUAAGUCCAUGCUAGACAUGUUUUAUAUUAUUGAACUAUUAUCAUUUUUAGCCGGAGUAACGUGUGUUUACAUUUUGGUUCUCUUAACUUCUGGAACUUGAAAUAGGCUUGGCAUUCGAAAGGAGGAUCUUCCCAAGAUCGAGGAAGAACUUGAAAUGGAAAUUGCUAAAAGCGAGCUGUCAGAACUUAAGAAGGAAUGUGUUGAAGCCAUGGAGGGUCAACUAAAGAGGGAGGAGUUUAAGGACGAGGUGAUGCCUGAUGUCAGGAAGUUGGACAUUAGAAACUUCCUGUAGGUCCUGACUGAUGAUAAUCCGCACGGUGUUUGCAAAUGCCGACCGAAUCUGUGAUUUUUUCUUUUCAAGCGACAGCCGAUGCUGCAGGCCACACCUAAUGGAUGUUAUUGUUGCUUUUCUGUAAUAAAACUGUACUGAAAAUACAAUGACAGCCAACCAUUGAGUUGAGUUACUUGGUUA